ensembl:lncRNA
GAAAGCAGUUGGUUUGGUGGAAGGGAACUAAACCAGGAAUUAAGCAUGAGUCUGCAGUUGACUCCCCAGAUGACCUCCAGAAGGAACAACUUCUCAGGCCAGGUCCUUCAGUGAGAGAAAAAGAGCCAUGCCUGGGGCAAGUACACUGUAGCUGUCCUCAGACACACCAGAAGAGGGCAUCAGAUCUCAUUACAGAUGGUUGUGAGCCACCAUGUGGUUGCUGGGAUUUGAACUCAGGACCUCUGGAAGAACAGUCAGUGCUCUUAACCGCUGAGCCAUCUCUCCAGCCUGCUCAUAGACAUUCUUUAACCCAUUGUUCACCUUAUUCCUUUGGCUACCUUAAGCACUGUCCGGCCCCUGGGGCCAGAAAAGGGACAUUUUCCAUCCCCUUCCCCUUUUCUGUCCUAGGAUUAUAUCCUUCCACAUCUUUUCCCAAAUAAAGUCUAUGCUGCCCUUGGGUCACUGGUCCCUUUGUCUGUCCUUCUCCCAAACCUUACAGGUAAACCUCCAGUCUCUGCCCUGUAGCUCCAACAGUACUUGGGCACAGCACAAACUAAACACUUUUGCAUCUUGUUUAAACACUGGUGGAGAUCUAAUAGGACAGUGGGGGAGGUCUUCUCUGGCAUUCUUAGCAUGAAGAAUCGAGCCUUUGUUUUUUGAAACAGGGUCUCUAUAACCCUGCUGGCCUGCAAUGCACUAUGUAGACUAGACUGGCCUUGAACUUUCAGAGCUCUGUCUUCAUCUCUGGAGUGUGGCGAUUAAAGGUGUAUGGUACCAUGCCCAGCUUAAAUAAACUUUCCAGGACACCUCAGAUACAAAGUUCCUCAUGGAUCCCAAUAGGGAGAUGUUAUAAGGCUCCUGAGAAGAUCCAUCAAUGGUUGCUGCCCAAUAGGCAAUGUGGAUCAAGCGAACACUGUCAAAAAUCUCAAGACCACCAGAGUGGCUUAGGACUCUCUCUUUGCAGCUGGCCUACACUUGAGGGCUCUCCAAGACUUCUCUACAGCAAGCCCUCUCCACUUUUCCCUUGUACCCUGUACCCCCGGCUUCAAAGGCAAGCAGCCUCUCCAUUUGCUCUUCGCUGACUGCUGACUGCUCCCUUUCUUCCCA